rnacentral:rRNA from 1 species
UACGGAGGGUGCAAGCGUUAGCCGGAUUCACUGGGUUUAAAGGGUGUGUAGGCGGAUAUUUAAGUCAGGGGUGAAAUCUCCGGGCUCAACCCGGAAACUGCCAUUGAUACUAUUUAUCUUGAAUUCUGUUGAGGUGGGCGGAAUACAUCAUGUAGCGGUGAAAUGCUUAGAUAUGAUGUAGAACACCGAUUGCGAAGGCAGCUCACUAACCAGACAUUGACGCUGAGGCACGAAAGCGUGGGGAUCAAACAGG